CAAAAUAACAUGAUAAUGUGAUAGCCAAUCCAUCCCCAAAAUGACUUCGAAAUCCACCAUAUCAAGAAGUAGGAGAUCUAUACUAGUUUUAAGACCCCCAAUAACAACCACACACGGUAUAUAGACACGAUAUACAAUAAUAGAAUCCCCUACUGGUGUGGACACAUACACGGGAGUACUCAAGGAAUCACAAAGCACGACCAAAUAUGAAGAAAAAUAAAAAGACAUAUAGGAGUAUAUAGUUCAUAGAUCAAAUAGAACUGAAGCAUCU
rnacentral:lncRNA from 1 species